rnacentral:rRNA from 1 species
UACAGAGGGGGCUAGCGUUGUUCGGAAUUACUGGGCGUAAAGGGCGCGUAGGCGGCCUUCUAAGUCGAACGUGAAAUCCCCGGGCUCAACCCGGGAACUGCGUCCGAUACUGGAAGGCUUGAAUCCGGGAGAGGGAUGCGGAAUUCCAGGUGUAGCGGUGAAAUGCGUAGAUGUCUGGAGGAACACCGGUGGCGAAGGCGGCAUCCUGGACCGGCAUUGACGCUGAGGCGCGAAAGCCAGGGGAGCAAACGGG